GGCGAGAGACCGAUAGCGAACAAGUACCGUGAGGGAAAGAUGAAAAGAACUUUGAAAAGAGAGUUAAACAGUACGUGAAAUUGUUGAAAGGGAAACGAUUGAAGCCAGUCGUACCUAUGGGUAAUCAGCCUUUUGGGUGUGAUUUUGUGGAGCGUGAUGAGUUAAACGCCUUCAUGCCUGCAUAUUCGUGCACUUUGGGUGUACUUGCCCGUGUGUAAGUUAACAUCAAUUUUGGUGGUCAUAAAA
rnacentral:rRNA from 1 species